rnacentral:sRNA from 1 species
GCUAGGCAUGGUGGUGAAUGCCUGUAGACCCAGCUACUCAGGAAGCUGAGGCAGGAGGAUCACUCAAGCCCAGGAGUUUGAAAACAGCCAGGGCAAAACAGCAAGAGACAAUUUCUU